AUUGAACGCUGGCGGCCGGCCUAACACAUGCAAGUCGAGCGGAGCGGCGGACGGGUAAGUAAUGCCUAGGAAUCUGCCUGGUAGUGGGGGAUAACGUACGGAAACGGGCGCUAAUACCGCAUACUAUCAGAUGAGCCUAGGUCGGAUUAGGUAGUUGGUGGGGUAAAGGCCUACCAAGGCGAAGAUCCGGAACUGGGCUGAGGGGAUGAUCAGUCACAGUGGAAAUUAGACACGGUCCAGACGCCUACGGGAGGCAGCAGUGGGGAAUAUUGGACAAUGGGCGAAAGCCUGAUCCAGCCAUGCCGCGUGUGUGAAGAAGGUCUUCGGAUUGUAAAGCACUGUAAGUUGGGAGGCGUUACCAACAGAAUAAGCACCGGCGAACUUCGUGCCAGCAGCCGCGGUAAUAC
rnacentral:rRNA from 1 species